UCUGAACGCUGGCGGCGUGGCUAAGACAUGCAAGUCGAACGGUGUAGCAAUACACAGUGGCGGACGGGUGAGUAAUAUAUCGCUAAUGUACCCCGACUGUCUGGGAUAGCUAGUCGAAAGAUUAGGUAAUACCAGAUGAGACCACGGAACCGCAUGGUUCAGUGCUCAAAGGGUCACCGCAUUGGGCGCAGGCGAUAUCGUAUCAGCUAGUUGGGGAGGUAACGGCUCACCAAGGCGACGACGCGUAGCCGGGCUGAGGAGGGU
rnacentral:rRNA from 1 species